GACGAACGCUGGCGGCGUGCCUAAUACAUGCAAGUCGAGCGAAGUUUUUCUGGUGCUUGCCCUAGAAAAACUUAGCGGCGAACGGGUGAGUAACACGUAAAGAACCUGCCUCAUAGACUGGGACCACUAUUGGAAACGAUAGCUAAUACCGGAUAACAGUAUUUCUCGCAUGUGAGAUAUUUAAAAGUUGGUUAUGCUAACACUAUGAGAUGGCUUUGCGGUGCAUUAGCUAGUUGGUGGGGUAAAGGCCCACCAAGGCGACGAUGCAUAGCCGACCUGAGAGGGUGAUCGGCCACACUGGAACUGAGACACGGCCCAGACUCCUACGGGAGGCAGCAGUAGGGAAUCUUCCGCAAUGGGCGAAAGCCUGACGGAGCAACGCCGCGUGAGUGAAGAAGGAUUUCGGUUCGUAAAGCUCUGUUGUUAGGGAAGAAUGGAUGUGUAGUAACUAUACAUGUAAGAGACGGUACCUAACCAGAAAGCCACGGCUAACUACGUG
rnacentral:rRNA from 1 species